UCCGAUCACCGAAGUUAAGCAACCUCGAGCCUGAUCAAUACCUAGCUGGGUGACCGCUUGGAAAUACCAAGUGUUGUAAG